GGGCGAUUAGCUCAGUUGGUAGAGCAGCUGACUCUUAAUCAGCGGGUCGACAGUUCGAGCCUGUCAUCGCCCACCA
rnacentral:tRNA from 1 species